UAACAGUAAGGCAAGCACCGCAUCAUUUU
rnacentral:piRNA from 1 species